CUAUUCUCCUCUACUCUUUUCUUUUCUCUUCCUCUCCAUUUCACUCUUUUCCUCUAUUCCUCUUUUUUCAAACCAAACAUGGCCUCAGUUGACAUAGACAUUAAGGAGAGAAGAAAGCUUGUAUUUGUUAAUUAAAAUUUCCUAUUCUUUAUUCAUUUAAUUUUUUUUUAAUUUACAAAUUCUAUCUAUUAAUGAGAUUUUCAUUAAGAAAGAAAUUCAAAUUAACUUUAAUUUCAGCCAGUGGAUUAAUUAUGAUUUAGCUUUGAGAUUUUGUGUAGAAAUUUAUGUUUGGAGGGGCUCCUAAUCCUCUCUCUCUAUGUAUAUAUAUAUUCAACUCUAAAAAUCCACAACAUCAAAGUAUUUUUUUUUUAUCUAAAUCAUUUCGAUAGACGACAAUAAAUAUAUGAAGGAUUUUACUUUCCUUUACGUUGGUUGAAUCAAAAGAUAGUUUUUAAAAAGUGUAAUAUUUUUGUAUUAGGUGACCUUUAACAAUUUGCCAAGAAUCAAUAAUUCUCAUACUCUUUUCACUGAGUUAAUAAUUUUUUAAUUAAAAAAUUCAACCUUUUGUUAUUGAAAUUAGUACUUUAUAUAGAUUCAUCAAAGAAUCACAACUGAGUUAUGCCUAUUUAUCAUUUGCUAUAUUAUAAUUGAAGACAUUAUUUUUUAACUAAAAAUGAGUAACAUUUUCUGAUGUGAAUAAUUUUUUAAAUUUCUGAAAAAUAUUUUUUAUUGUUUCAUGACAUAUAGCAAAAAUUAUCUUAAUAAAUCGCUAAAGCAAAUUUUAAAAAUGAGAAAAGAAAGUAUAUUUACAUAAGAAAUUAUAUGCAUAUUACUCGAAAUAUCAAAUUAAUAUGCGGAAUUAUGGUAACUUAUAUUUAUAGCAUGUUACUCAAAAUAUCAAAAUAAUACUCCAUAUGAUGAUGCUUUAUAUUCCUAUACAAAAUUAAUUUUGUUCUAUUAAUAUUAACAUAGUUUGAUCAGUAAUUAUGAUGUUUGUUAUAUUAAUUAUAAUUGAUUUAGGGUGAAUUUGAUUUUAAAAAGUAUAAAAAUUAUCCUAAUUAAUAUUAACGUUUCCUUAUUUUAAAAAAAUGUUUCCAAUUUAACAUUGUCCAUGUUAAACCGAGGGGGCUUUCCACGAUUUUCUAAUUAAAAUAGCUAUAUUUGGAGUACAGGUAACCAAUUGAUAAUCACCGUUGAUAUUUGCCAUCUUAUCAAUAGUUCACCGCCUAUUUCGGUAGCCAGAUUUAAUUGCAAAAUGUCCCUACCGAUGGAUGGCCUCAUAUGAAAUCCAACGAUCAAUAAAUUUUAAAUAAAAAUUUCAAAUACCGCUGUAUGUGAUACAGGCUCCGUGUCAGACGGACCCAUUUGAAAGAACAUUUAUUCGGAACGGGUGCACUAUCCAUAAACACGUGGGUCCCCGAAUCUCCUCUCUUCUUCUGACGAUCUUCAAGACAAAGACACUGAGACUGGCACUGGCCCGGUGACCCCUCCGCCCUUCUUUUCAAUCUUAUUUUUACACCACAUACUCUUUGAAACCCAUAUUCCACUUUGUUAAUAGAAGGCAUCUAAGGACAAAGAAUGGUUAAAGGUACUGUCUCUCUGUUUGGCCAGCUAAAAUAUCACUUCAUUUUCGAAUUAUUUUCUGUACUCUUCCUUUUCAAGUUAUUUUCUGUAUUUCUUUGAAAAAAAAAAGUUAUUUUCUUUUAAGUUAUUAACCACAUUUUCAUUAAAAAUCCCUUUGGUUCUCGUUCUUAAAUUCUUUUUAAAUUCAUAAGGGAUGCGUUUGGUAUUAAAGUGAUGUAGUUUUUAAGUUAUAACUGUUGUGGAGAAAAAAAUUAUAAUUAUAAAAUAAAAUUUAGUAAUAUAUAGUAAAUAUAAAUUUUAAAUAAUAAUUGUGGUAAAAUUAUUAAAGAUGUAAUAUAUUUUUCAUUGUACAAGUGAAAAAUCAUAUCAACAUACCUUUCAAACUGCAGCAGCUAGUGUUUACCAAACACUUUAGUACUGUAACUUUUAAGCUAUAGUUGUCCAACCUCAAUCCCAAACGCACCCAAGAUUCAUUGUCACAUGCUAGAAAUAACUUAUGGAUGAGUAGUUUUUUAGUAAUUAUAUUAAUUGAUCAGAGUUAGUAUGUGAUUUUUUUGGGAGAAGUAUAGAUUAAAAAAUUAAUUAAAACCCUGCAAACUCCAUAUACCUCUUAAAACAAAUAAAAUAAAAUAAAUAAAUUGACGGUCACAUAAAUCAACUAUUAUAUGUGAUUACUAGGUGCUCGAACGUAAGAUUUAGACAUGAUUUGAAUAGAAAACCUAAAUUUUUUAAUUACAAUAAAUUUUCUAUGUGAUAUUCUCUAUAGUAAUAAUCUUUUUAUAGUAAUAAAAAUUUCUAGUCCCAAUAUAUGA
rnacentral:lncRNA from 1 species